UUGCCAGCAUCUUGCCAGCCACGGCUGUACUCUGCCCUGGGCCACACCCGCUCCUUCCGCCUGGAGAAGCGGCAGCGGCGGCUGGACAGGAAACGGGCAGCCAGUGUCAGCGGAUGCCCAGGGUGGGAGCUGCAGCUGCCCAGAGAGGAGGCUGCUGCCCAGGAGCGGGUAGCGGAGCUGAGCUCCAAGUGCCAGUUGGAUGGUGGCAGUGACACGAACGGGGAGGGAGACGCUGCUGCCGCUACCCCAGCCACCACCUUACUCAUCC